UCAUGACAACGCUGCUGUAAACACACAUCAAUACGGGGCAAUCUGUAGUGUGGUGAGGAUUUCAUCUGAAACCCAAACAGUGACACUGCGCCCCCACCCCGAACACCUAAGGGAGCCUGAGUGACGCUGAGAGACUCCUCUGCUGGGAUAAAGAACGGGAAGACACUUCAAUCCACCAAUAACAACAAUAACAACAACAAUCCGGGCCAGCAUGCUGCACUCCGCUCAUAUGGCGGGUACCGCUUAUAACGCUGUCCCGACCCAUGGCGUCGUCGUGAAAGCGUAGCACCCGCCCUCGGGUUCCUCCUCAGACCGCAGAAGGGGCUGCUGCAGAGCGAGAGAGGUUGUGGUUGGCACACAUACGCCCAGAGGGGCCCAGGCCUGUCAGCUCAGUAGCCCCACAUCUGGAGCCUCCCGCUGGGCCAGCAGCCUCCCUCCAGCACUCCUCCUCCACCACCACCACCGCUCCCCAGAGAGCACUGAGCAUACAUACCACACACACACACACACGCACACACACACGCACACUGAAAAAUAUACAUACACAUACAGAUUUGCACACUUCAACACCUCACUUACACAAGCAUAGACAUACUUUUUGUGCAAACGCAUGCAUGCAGAGAUGCACACACAUAGAUACCUAUAGGUAAAUUCACAAUAUGCACACAUACAGACAUGCAUGCAUCACACACACACACAACACCCACUCACACACACAAUUUACAGGCACACACAUUAAACUCUAAAACAUUAUGCUAAUCUACAGCCGGCGGCAGAGGAUGGCACUCUGCUCGGCCUCAUGCCAAAGUCCCUUUCAUUUUUAUAAGAUUAACCAUGAGGAAGGACAGAGAGAGAAAAGAGAGACAGAUUCUGCUCUGAGAGAAGAUGACUGGACAGCAACACCUACUCUCUCACUCUGAUGCUUCACAACACUUUGAAACAUCCACUAAUAUAAACACAAAUGACAAGACCAUUUGACAGUAGAGUUAAAUAAGCAGGCCAGGCUUUAUGUCCUGCAUCGCUAGACAUAUCUGCCCGUAGGUAAGAAUGAUAAAAAGCAAUAUUUAGCUCAUGUUUUGGGGUUUGACUGAU